rnacentral:rRNA from 1 species
UUCAAAACGGGAAACGGAAAAGGACCCAAAAACCGGUUUUAAGCUUACGGGGCCCGUUCCCAAGGUUCUGCCAAGGGUGGUCGUCAGGUCGGUCCCGUUAGGUGUUCGGCUUUAGGUGCCAUAACGAAGCGCAACCCCCCNGCCGGCAGUUGCUAACGGGCAAAUGCGAGGACUUNUGCGGGGACUGCCGCGCAAAGGCGAGAGGAAGGCGGGGAUGACGUCAAAUCAGCACGGCCCUUACGUCUGGGGCGACACACGUGUUACAAUGGGCGGUACAGCGGGAAGCCAGGCGGCGACGCCGAGCGGAACCCGAAAGCCGUUCUCAGUUCGGAUCGGAGUCUGCAACCCGACUCCGUGAAGCUGGAUUCGCUAGUAAUCGCGCAUCAGCCAUGGCGCGGUGAAUACGUUCCCGGGCCUUGUACACACCGCCCGUCAAGCCAUGGGAGCCGGGGGUGCUUGAAGUGCGUCGCCGCGAGGCGCGCCCUAGAGCAAAACCGGUGACUGGGGCUAAGUCGUAACAAGG